GAUUAACGCUGGCGGCGUGCCUAACACAUGCAAGUCGAGCGGCAGCGAGUUUUACACUGAAUUCUGGAAGCUUCUGGUUGAAAGAGAAGAUACUAUUCAAGAAUUUUGUGUAAAAUGUCGGCGAGCGGCGGACGGCUGAGUAACGCGUGGGAACGUACCCCAAAGUGAGGGAUAACGCAUCGAAAGGUGUGCUAAUACCGCGUAUGGUCUUCGGAUUAAAGCCUUCGGGCGCUUUGGGAACGGCCUGCGUAAGAUUAGAUAGUUGGUGGGGUAAUGGCCUACCAAGUCAACGAUCUUUAACUGGUUUGAGAGGAUGAUCAGUCAGACUGGAACUGAGACACGGUCCAGACUCCUACGGGAGGCAGCAGUGAGGAAUCUUCCACAAUGGGCGAAAGCCUGAUGGAGCAACGCCGCGUGCAGGAUGAAGGCCUUCGGGUUGUAAACUGCUUUUAUAAGUGAGGAAUAUGACAGUAACUUAUGAAUAAGGAUCGGCUAACUACGUGCCAGCAGCCGCGGUCAUACGUAGGAUCCGAGCGUUAUCCGGAGUGACUGGGCGUAAAGAGUUGCGUAGGUGGUUUAAUAAGCGAAUAGUGAAAUCUGGUGGCUCAACCAUUCAGACUAUUAUUCGAACUGUUGAACUCGAGAGCAGAAGAAGUAGCUGGAAUUUCUAGUGUAGGAAUGAAAUCCGUAGAUAUUAGAAGGAACCACCGAUGGCGUAAGCAGGCUACUGGGGCUGUUUCUGACACUGAGGCACGAAAGCGUGGGGAGCGAACCGGAUUAGAUACCCGGGUAGUCCACGCCGUAAGCGAUGGAUACUAGCUGUUUGGGGUAUCGACCCCCUGAGUAGCGAAGCUAACGCGUUAAGUAUCCCGCCUGUGGAGUACGAUCGCAAGAUUAAAACAUAAAGGAAUUGACGGGGACCCGCACAAGCGGUGGAUCAUGUUCUUUAAUUCGAUGAUAACCGAUAAACCUUACCAGGUCUUGACAUCCUUGGAAUCUUUCAGAAAUGAGAGAGUGCUUUUUAAGAGCCAAGUGACAGGUGAUGCAUGGCCGUCGUCAGCUCGUGUCGUGAGAUGUUUGGUUAAGUCCAUCAACGAGCGCAACCCUUGUCAGUAGUUGUAUUUUUCUACUGAGACUGCCCCGGCAACGGGGAGGAAGGAGGGGAUGACGUCAGGUCAGUAUUUCCCUUACGUCCUGGGCUAGAAACGUGAUACAAUGGCCAGUACAAUGCGCAGCGAAGCCGCGAGGUGAAGCAAAUCGCAUCAAAGCUAGUCCCAGUUCGGAUUGUAGGCUGAAACUCGCCUGCAUGAAGUCGGAAUCGCUAGUAAUCGCAGAUCAGCAUGCUGCGGUGAAUACGUUCCCGGGUCU
rnacentral:rRNA from 1 species